rnacentral:rRNA from 1 species
CCAUCUUCUGAACUUAUUUAUAGAAGACAAUGCCUGCCCAGUGAAAAUUUUAAACGGCCGCGUUAGCGUGAGCGUGCUAAGGUAGCGUAAUAAAUAGCCUCUUAAUUGGAGGCCAGUGAAUGGCAAGACUAGGAACACCUGUACCUUUUAUAUUAGAAAAACUUUUCAUCUAAGUGAAAAGACUUAGAUAAUAAAGGAAGACGAAAAGACCCCGCGGAACUUUACUUUUUCUUAUACCUUCGCCCAAAAGCAUAAAAGUACAAGAAGUUUGAUUGGGGCAAUCUCGGAACCUAUAAGCUUCCGAUCUUUUAAACAAAUAAUUUAAAAUUUGUUAUAGACAAAAUAGAAGUUACCCCGGGGAUAACAGCGUUAUCCAACUCAAGAGUACACAUCGAAAGUUGGGUUUGCGACCUCGAUGUUGGCUUAAGGACAUCCACAUUAGUGCAACCGCUAUGAAGGGACAGUCUGUUCGACUAUUAUAACCUU